GGUAACAGAAAGUAGCUUGCUACUUUGCUGACGAGCGGCGGACGGGUGAGUAAUGCCUAGGGAACUGCCCAGUCGAGGGGGAUAACAGUUGGAAACGACUGCUAAUACCGCAUACGCCCUACGGGGGAAAAGAGGGGAUCUUCGGACCUUCUGCGAUUGGAUGUACCUAGGUGGGAUUAGCUAGUAGGUGAGGUAAUGGCUCACCUAGGCGACGAUCCCUAGCUGUUCUGAGAGGAUGAUCAGCCACACUGGGACUGAGACACGGCCCAGACUCCUACGGGAGGCAGCAGUGGGGAAUAUUGCACAAUGGGCGCAAGCCUGAUGCAGCCAUGCCGCGUGUGUGAAGAAGGCCUUCGGGUUGUAAAGCACUUUCAGCGAGGAGGAAAGGUUAACGGUUAAUACCCGUUAGCUGUGACGUUACUCGCAGAAGAAGCACCGGCUAACUUCGUGCCAGCAGCCGCGGUAAUACGAGGGGUGCAAGCGUUAAUCGGAAUUACUGGGCGUAAAGCGUACGCAGGCGGUUGAUUAAGCGAGAUGUGAAAGCCCCGGGCUUAACCUGGGAACUGCAUUUCGAACUGGUCAACUAGAGUCUUGUAGAGGGGGGUAGAAUUUCAGGUGUAGCGGUGAAAUGCGUAGAGAUCUGAAGGAAUACCGGUGGCGAAGGCGGCCCCCUGGACAAAGACUGACGCUCAGGU
rnacentral:rRNA from 1 species